rnacentral:rRNA from 1 species
AUUGAACGCUGGCGGCAUGCCUUACACAUGCAAGUCGAACGGCAGCACGGGAGCUUGCUCCUGGUGGCGAGUGGCGAACGGGUGAGUAAUACAUCGGAACGUACCCUGAAGUGGGGGAUAACGUAGCGAAAGUUACGCUAAUACCGCAUAUUCUGUGAGCAGGAAAGAGGGGGAUCGCAAGACCUCUUGCUUUAGGAGCGGCCGAUGUCGGAUUAGCUAGUUGGUGAGGUAAAGGCUCACCAAGGCGACGAUCCGUAGCGGGUCUGAGAGGAUGAUCCGCCACACUGGGACUGAGACACGGCCCAGACUCCUACGGGAGGCAGCAGUGGGGAAUUUUGGACAAUGGGCGCAAGCCUGAUCCAGCCAUGCCGCGUGAGUGAAGAAGGCCUUCGGGUU